CGAGACUCUGUCUCUCUGCCUCGACCUCCAUUCGCGACUUUGUCUUCUCUCUUUUCGGUUCUCUUCUUCUUUUGUUGGUGGCUCGUCGGAGCUCAUGCUCAUCAAUUGAGAUUUUAAAAUCUCUCAGUAUUGAACAUUUGAACUCUCCAUUUCAAUGGAUCCUGCUAAUGAGGUAGCCGAUCGUGAUGUUCCCAUUUC